UCGCUUAGGCAGCGCACAUACUAAAAUGGAAACGAUACAGAGAAGACUGUACAAGGAUGACACGCAAAUAAAUUCAUUCCAUAUUUUA
ensembl:snRNA U6 U6 spliceosomal RNA